UUUUGGAACUGAAAAGAUCAGGAAAGAGAAAACUUGUGAUCUGUUGUUAUAGAUAAUAGCUUGUCAAGUUUGAGGUGGUUGAGAGUUUGAAAUUUCGAGAUUUUGUUCACCACUUUUGAGCUAAUCCCAGUGAGAAAGCAGAAAGGAUUUUUUCUUGUUUGAGAAAAUUCAGGACAAAGAGAAAAGGCGUGCGUAGUGGGUGCUAAAUUCAGGAUCUG
rnacentral:misc_RNA from 1 species